rnacentral:rRNA from 1 species
CGUGUAGGCGGCUUCGUAAGUCGCAUGUGAAAGCCCCGGGCUUAACCUGGGAAUUGCAUGCGAUACUGCGCGGCUAGAGUUUGGUAGAGGGAAGUGGAAUUCCAGGUGUAGCGGUGAAAUGCGUAGAGAUCUGGAGGAACAUCAGUGGCGAAGGCGGCUUCCUGGAUCAAAACUGACGCUGAGGCUCGAAAGCGUGGGGAGCAAACAGGAUUAGAUACCCUGGUAGUCC